GGGGCUGAUUCUGGAUUCGACGGGAUUAGCGAAGCCCAAGGUGCACGUCGAGGUGCGGUAGGCCUCGUAAACAAACCGCAAAAAAAUAGUCGCAAACGACGAACAAUACGCUUUAGCAGCUUAAUAACCUGCAUUUAGCCUUCGCGCCCCAGCUUCCGCUCGUAAGACGGGGAGUUCGCGGAGUCAAACCAAAACGAGAUCGUGUGGAUGCCGCCGUUUGAGGAUCGAAGCAUUAAAUUAAAUCAAACUAGCUUAAAUUUAGCGUGUCUGUCCGCAUAUUUAAGUGAAAUUAAAGACCGACUAAACGUGUAGUACUGAAGGUAGAGUAAUUUCGGACGCGGGUUCAACUCCCGCCAGCUCCACCA
rfam:Rodentibacter myodis strain Ac151 contig_10, whole genome shotgun sequence.